rnacentral:rRNA from 1 species
AUGGGGAUCUCGGAAAGUGGCGGACGGGUGAGUAACGCGUGAGAACCUGCCUUUAGGUUCGGGACAACAGUUGGAAACGGCUGCUAAUACCGAAUGUGUCGCAAGAUGAAAGAUUAAUUGCCUAAAGAUGAGCUCGCGUCUGAUUAGCUAGUUGGUGGGGUAAGAGCCUACCAAGGCGACGAUCAGUAGCUGGUCUGAGAGGAUGAUCAGCCACACUGGGACUGAGACACGGCCCAGACUCCUACGGGAGGCAGCAGUGGGGAAUUUUCCGCAAUGGGCGAAAGCCUGACGGAGCAACGCCGCGUGAGGGAGGAAGGCUCUUGGGUUGUAAACCUCUUUUAUCAAGGAAGAUAAUGACGGUACUUGAUGAAUCAGCAUCGGCUAACUCCGUGCCAGCAGCCGCGGUAAUACGGAGGAUGCAAGCGUUAUCCGGAAUAAUUGGGCGUAAAGCGUUCGUAGGUGGUGAUGUAAGUCUGCUGUUAAAGCGUGUAGCUUAACUACAUAUAGGCAGUGGAAACUACAUGACUAGAGUGCGUUCGGGGCAGAGGGAAUUCCUGGUGUAGCGGUGAAAUGCGUAGACAUCAGGAAGAACACCGGUGGCGAAGGCGCUCUGCUAGGCCGUAACUGACACUGAGGGACGAAAGCUAGGG